GGAAGGUCAAUCACUUCUUGCUCAGAGUUCUCAGGAUUCUCAGAGUGUAAAGCAACUAUGUGCUUUGCAAGGCGCCUGUCGGUCUGCUCAUCUGCUUUGUCUAGAAUUAAAUAUAUCAAAUCAAAUCUAGACAGCAGGGUAGGUGGAAGGUGUAUAUUAUCAAUGACAGAUAAUCGGGGAUUGUAACGGGAGCCAAUUGGAUUUGCACAUGCCAAUACUGAAGUCCUAGCAUUAAGCGAAGCGAUAAUUCCAGCCUUUGCAAUUGAAACAGUUUGUUGCUCCAUCACCUCAUGUAACAUGCUC
rnacentral:misc_RNA from 1 species